UUCUAUGAGAUCAUCAUAUGUGUGUAGCAUUGUUGUCCUGUGAGAACCACGUAUCUCUAAAAAAGUUUUAAAGAUUC